UGCUUUACACAUGCAAGUCGAACGGCAGCGCGGACUUCGGUUUGGCGGCGAGUGGCGAACGGGUGAGUAAACCAUCGGGACGUACCUUAAAGUGGGGGAUAACGCAUCGAAAGAUGAGCUAAUACCGCAUAAGCUCUAAGGAGGAAAGGCGGGGAUCCUUCGGGACCUGUUGCUUUAAGAGCGGCCGAUGGCCGAUUAGCUAGUUGGUGGGGUAAAGGCCUACCAAGGCGAUGAUCGGUAGCUGUUCUGAGAGGAAGAUCAGCCACACUGGGACUGAGACACGGCCCAGACUCCUACGGGAGGCAGCAGUGGGGAAUUUUGGACAAUGGGGGCAACCCUGAUCCAGCAACGCCGCGUGAAUGAAGAAGGCCUUCGGGUUGUAAAGUUC
rnacentral:rRNA from 1 species